rnacentral:lncRNA from 1 species
GUAUUUUUGUCCUACAUAUUCUUUUUGAACUAUUGAAGAUGCGAAAGAAAAAACUUUUUUGUGCUUUUAUAGACUUUGCAAAAGCCUUUGACACAGUUUGGCGAUCUGGUUUAUGGCAAAAACUUUUGGAGAAUUUUAUCAGUGGAAAAAUGUAUGAUACCAUUGUAAAUAUGUAUAGUAACAUUAAAUCUAGAAUUUUUUAUGGUAGUGUAUUUUCAGAGUAUUUUCCUUGUAAUGUCGGUGUACGUCAAGGCGAAAGCCUCUCACCUUUAUUAUUUUCUCUGUAUAUUAAUGAUCUUGAACAUUUUUUAAAAGAACAAGAUGUAGAAGGGUUAAAAACAGUAUCCGAUGAUAUAGAAAUUGAGCUAGACUACUAUUUAAAAUUGUUUCUGAUUCUGUAUGCAGAUGACACAGCUCUUUUGGCAGAGUCAAAAAAUGACUUACAAAAGCAGCUUGACUCUUUGUAUAACUAUUGUGAACUUUGGAAAUUGAAGGUUAAUGUAAAUAAAAGCAAAAUUGUAGUUUUUUCAAAAGGUAGACCAUUAUCAAAUAUAGAAUUUAAAUAUAAUAAUACUGUUUUAGAAAUUGUGAAUGAGUUUACGUACCUUGGUGUUAUUUUUUCUAGAACAGGAAGUUUUUCUAAGGCAAAAAAGGCACAAAUCCAGAAAAAGCCACACACGCUAUGUACGAUGUUAUCCGCAAAGGUCGAAAACAUAAUUUAUCUAUAGAAUGUCAACUCGAUCUUUUCGAUAAAAUUGUCAAGCCUAUUUUAUUGUAUGGAAGUGAAGUUUGGGGAGUCGGCAAUAAUUCUGUUAUUGAAAGGGUCCACCUUAAAUUCUGUAAAAUUUUGUUAAAUGUAAAGAAGUCAACGCCAGAUUUCAUGAUUUAUGGAGAACUUGGGAGAUAUCCUUUGGAAAUUGAUAUCAAAUUGCGGAUUUUAAAUUACUGGUCGAAACUUAUGUGUGAAAAGCAAGAAAAACUCCCUGUUAUUUUGUAUAAAUAUGCAUAUAAAAAGUAUGGGAUGAGUAUCCCAUGGCUUAAUAAUAUAAAAUCUGUUCUUGAUAGCAGUGGACUGUCAUAUGUUUGGAAUGCACAGUACUUUGUUAGUAAUACAUGGUUAUAUCAUAAGGUUAAAGUUAGUGUUGUAGACCAAUUCAAACAAAAUUGGCACUCUAUCUUAUUAGAAUCGCCAAAAGCUAUUAAUUAUCGUCUAUUCAAAGAUAAUGCUGAAAGAGAAAACUAUUUUAAGAUCCUAGAUGAUAAAAAUAUUAUUACUUUUUGUAGAUUCAGGAUACUCAGUCAUAAACUUCCUAUUGAAACUGGAAGGUGGAAAAAUGUACCUAGAGAAAAUCGAAAUUGUAAACUAUGUAAUUCAGGAGAUAUUGGGGAUGAAUUCCACUAUAUUUUUAAAUGUUCGAAAUUUAAUCAUGAUAGAGAAAAAUUUGUGAAACCAUAUUAUCUAAAUAGACCAAACAUAUUGAAAUUUCAUGAUUUGAUGAAUACUAGAAACAUCAGUAUGUUGAAUCAUUUAUGCAAAUUUAUCAGACUGAUUAAUAAACAGCUGGACUCUUAGGGGAAACAUUGUUUAAUAUUUUUUGAUAUAAUAUUUUAGACAUGCAAAAUGUGUUUUGUAUAUUACAUGUAACUGGAAAUAUUUUUCCAGUUGAAGAUCAUACAUUUGUAUUAAUUCUGACUAUAUGUUAUAUUAUUAAUGUUUAUAUU